rnacentral:rRNA from 1 species
GACGAACGCUGGCGGCGUGCUUAACACAUGCAAGUCGAACGAAGUGGCGAACGGGUGAGUAACGCGUAAUCAACCUGCCCUUCAGAGGGGGAAAACAGUUGGAAACGACUGCUAAUACCGCAUACUGAAGGAGGGGAGUGCGGCGGAUUAGCUAGUUUGAGGGGUAAGGGCCCACCAAGGGGAUGAUCAGGAGCCGGGCUUAGGGGGUGAACGGCCACAUUGGGACUGAGGCACGGCCCAGGCUCCUACGGGAGGGAGCAGUGGGGAAUCUUCCGCAAUUGACGAAAGUCUGACGGAGCAACGCCGCGUGAUUGAUGACGGCCUUCGGGUUGUAAAGCUCUGUUAAUCGGGACGCGGUACCGGAAUAGAAAGCCACGGCUAACUACGUGCCAGCAGCCGCGGUAAUAC